rnacentral:rRNA from 1 species
AACGAACGCUGGCGGCAUGCCUAACACAUGCAAGUCGAACGAGAACUUCGGGUCUAGUGGCGCACGGGUGCGUAACGCGUGGGAACCUGCCCUUAGGUUCGGAAUAACUCCCCGAAAGGGGUUCUAAUACCGGAUAAUGACUUCGGACCACAGAUUUAUCGCCUUUGGAUGGGCCCGCGUUGGAUUCGCUAGUUGGUAGGGUAAAAGCCUACCAAGGCGACGAUCCAUAGCUGGUCUGAGAGGAAGAUCAGCCACACUGGGACUGAGACACGGCCCAGACUCCUACGGGAGGCAGCAGUGGGGAAUAUUGGACAAUGGGCGAAAGCCUGAUGCAGCAAUGCCGCGUGAGUGAUGAAGGCCUUAGGGUUGUAAAGCUCUUUUACCCGGGAGGAUAAUGACAGUACCGGGAGAAUAAGCUCCGGCUAACUCCGUG